rnacentral:rRNA from 1 species
UCGGGAAUAUUGCGCAAUGGAGGAAACUCUGACGCAGUGACGCCGCGUAUAGGAAGAAGGUUUUCGGAUUGUAAACUAUUGUCGUUAGGGAAGAUACAAGACAGUACCUAAGGAGGAAGCUCCGGCUAACUACGUGCCAGCAGCCGCGGUAAUACGUAGGGAGCAAGCGUUAUCCGGAUUUAUUGGGUGUAAAGGGUGCGUAGACGGGACAACAAGUUAGUUGUGAAAUCCCUCGGCUCAACUGAGGAACUGCAACUAAAACUAUUGUUCUUGAGUGUUGGAGAGGAAAGUGGAAUUCCUAGUGUAGCGGUGAAAUGCGUAGAUAUUAGGAGGAACACCGGUGGCGAAGGCGACUUUCUGGACAAUAACUGGACGUUGAGGCACGAAAGUGUGGGGAGCAAAUAGGAUUAGAUACC